rnacentral:piRNA from 1 species
UNGUUAGGUUUUAUUUUCCUGAGUGUGAC